UACGUAGGGUGCAAGCGUUGUCCGGAAUUAUUGGGCGUAAAGAGCUCGUAGGCGGUCUGUCCCGUCGGAUGUGAAAACCCAGGGCUCAACCCUGGGCCUGCAUUCGAUACGGGCAGACUAGAGUUCGGUAGGGGAGACUGGAAUUCCUGGUGUAGCGGUGAAAUGCGCAGAUAUCAGGAGGAACACCGGUGGCGAAGGCGGGUCUCUGGGCCGAAACUGACGCUGAGGAGCGAAAGCGUGGGGAGCAAACAGG
rnacentral:rRNA from 1 species